UACGGGGGGAGCAAGCGUUGUUCGGAUUUACUAGGCGUAAAGGGCGCGUAGGCGGCGCAACAAGUCACUUGUGAAAUCUCCGGGCUUAACCCGGAGCGGCCAAGUGAUACUGUCGUGCUAGAGUGCGGAAGGGGCUACUGGAAUUCUCGGUGUAGCGGUGAAAUGCGUAGAUAUCGAGAGGAACACCUGCGGCGAAGGCGGGUCUCUGGGCCGAUACUGACGCUGAGGAGCGAAAGCGUGGGGAGCGAACAGG
rnacentral:rRNA from 1 species